UACGGGGGGAGCAAGCGUUGUUCGGAUUUACUGGGCGUAAAGGGCGCGUAGGCGGCCACCGCAAGUCGAUUGUGAAAUCUCCGGGCUUAACCCGGAAAGGUCAACCGAUACUGCGGGGCUAGAGUGCAGAAGGGGCAACUGGAAUUCUCGGUGUAGCGGUGAAAUGCGUAGAUAUCGAGAGGAACACCUGCGGCGAAGGCGGGUUGCUGGGCUGAUACUGACGCUGAUGUGCGAAAGCUAGGGGAGCGAACGGG
rnacentral:rRNA from 1 species